GAGCAACAGGGAUUGCCCCAGUAACGGCGAGUGAAGCGGCAGGAGCUCAAAUUUGAAAUCUGGGGCCCCCGGCCUCCGAGUUGUAAUUUGGAGAGGCUCCUUCGGGGGGGAGCGCUGGCCCAUGUUCCUUGGAACAGGACGUCGCAGAGGGUGAGAAUCCCGUGCCAGGCCGGCUGCCUCCUCCCGCGUGAAGGGCCUUCGACGAGUCGAGUUGUUUGGGAAUGCAGCUCCAAGUGGGUGGUAAAUUUCAUCUAAAGCUAAAUACCGGCGGGAGACCGAUAGCGCACAAGUAGAGUGAUCGAAAGAUGAAAAGCACUUUGAAAAUAGAGUCAAAAAGUACGUGAAAUUGUUGAAAGGGAAGCGCUUGAGACCAGACUCAGACCCAGGCAAACACCGCGCCCCCAGGGGCCGUGCAAUUGCCCGGUGCUGGGCCAGCAUCAGUUGGCGUGGCGGGACAAGGGCGCGGGAAAUGUGGCUCCCCUCGGGGAGUGUUAUCAGGCCCGCGCCGGAUGCCGCCGACGCCGACUGAGGACCGCGCCUCGGCUAGGAUGCUGGCUUAAUGGCCUUCAGCGACCCGUCUUGAAACACGGACCAAGGAGUCUAACAUCUAUGCGAGUGUUUGGGCGCCAAACCCUUGCGCGGAAUGAAAGUGAGCGGAGGUGGGAACCCCUCGCCGGGCGCACCAUCGACCGAUCCUGAUGUCUUCGGAUGGAUUUGAGUAGGAGCAUAGCUGUUGGGACCCGAAAGAUGGUGAACUAUGCCUGAAUAGGGUGAAGCCAGAGGAAACUCUGGUGGAGGCUCGCAGCGGUUCUGACGUGCAAAUCGAUCGUCAAAUUUGGGUAUAGGGGCGAAAGACUAAUCGAACCAUCUAGUAGCUGGUCUGCG
rnacentral:rRNA from 1 species